rnacentral:lncRNA from 1 species
AUGUGAUUGCUUAUUCCAAAGGAUGGGAGCUACUUGGAUCAUCAAUAUGAUCUCAAGAGAGGAACUCCAUUUGUGGUCUUAUUUCUUCUCCUUUAUCUCUUGUAAGCUUGAGUUUAUGCUUUAUGUGAUUGCUUAUUCCAAAGGAUGGGAGCUACUUGGAUCAUCAAUAUGAUCUCAAGAGAGGAACUCCAUUUGUGGUCUUAUUU